GUUUCUGUAGCGCAAUUGCUAGCGCGUUGGACUUCUAAUUCAAAGGUUGUGAGUUCGAAUCCCACCUGAGAUG